CCUACGGGAGGCAGCAGUGAGGAAUAUUGGUCAAUGGACGCAAGUCUGAACCAGCCAUGCCGCGUGCAGGAUGACGGCUCUAUGAGUUGUAAACUGCUUUUGUACGGGGGUAAACGCAGAUACGCGUACCUGUCUGAAAGUAUCGUACGAAUAAGGAUCGGCUAACUCCGUGCCAGCAGCCGCGGUAAUACGGAGGAUUCGAGCGUUAUCCGGAUUUAUUGGGUUUAAAGGGUGCGUAGGCGGUCGGAUAAGUUAGAGGUGAAAUCCCGAGGCUCAACUUCGGAAUUGCAUUUGAUACUGUUAGGCUAGAGUGUAGUUGAGGUAGGCGGAAUGUAUGGUGUAGCGGUGAAAUGCUUAGAGAUCAGACAGAACACCGAUUGCGAAGGCAGCUUACUAAGCUACUACUGACGUUGAGGCACGAAAGCGUGGGUAGCAAACAGGAUUAGAUACCCUUGUAGUC
rnacentral:rRNA from 1 species